UACGUAUGGAGCAAGCGUUAUCCGGAUUUACUGGGCGUAAAGGGAGCGUAGACGGCGGUGCAAGCCAGAUGUGAAAGCCCGGGGCUCAACCCCGGGACUGCAUUUGGAACUGUGUAGCUGGAGUGUCGGAGAGGCAGGCGGAAUGCGUGGUGUAGCGGUGAAAUGCAUAGAUAUCACACAGAACACCGAUUGCGAAGGCAUCUCACGAAUCCGCGAUUGACGCUGAUGCACGAAAGCGUGGGUAUCAAACAGG
rnacentral:rRNA from 1 species